rnacentral:rRNA from 1 species
GGAUACCUUGUUAAGGAAAGGCGAAGGAUAGAGUCAAUCAAACAGAAGUAUUUCCGGCAGCAUGGUGGCAUGCUUCUAUUUGAAGAAAUGAAGUCACAACAAGGAGUUUCUUUCAAGAUAUUUUCAGAAGAGGAGCUACAACAAGCCACUGACAAGUUUGACGAGAAGCACAUCAUCGGCUACGGAGGACAUGGCACCGUCUACAGGGCGCUUCUCGACAGUGGCGUCGAGGUGGCCGUCAAGAGAUGCAAGACCAUCAACGAGAAGAACAAGAAAGAGUUCGGCCAGGAGAUGUUGAUCCUAUCUCAGAUAAACCACAGGAACAUCGUCAAGUUGUUGGGAUGCUGCCUCGAGGUUGAAGUGCCCACGCUGGUGUACGAGUUCGUCCGGGAUGGCACGUUGUACCAACUCAUCCAUGGUAGCCCCAUCAAGCGCAUCUCCCUAGCAGCUCGUCUGCAGAUUGCCCACGAUUCCGCUGAAGCUCUCGCCUACCUGCACUCUUGGGCGUCGCCGCCCAUCCUCCACGGCAACGUCAAGUCCUCCAACAUCCUCCUCGACGGCGGUCACACUGCCAAGGUCUCCGACUUCGGUGCCUCCAUCCUGGCACCAUCAGACGAGUCGCAGUUCGUCACGCUUGUGCAAGGAACCUGUGGCUACCUCGACCCGGAGUACUUGUGUACAUGCCAAUUGACAGAUAAGAGUGACGUGUAUAGUUUUGGGGUCGUUCUUGUGGAGUUGCUCACCCGCAAGAAGGCGUUCAACCUCGAAGCCCCUGAAAAUGAGAAGACUAUAUCUAUGAUGUUUUUGGAUGCCAUGAAAGAAGGACUCGUGGAGAUAUUGGACGAUCAGGUCAAGGACAUCGAGAGCACCGAAAUUGUUGAAGAGAUCGCAGAGGUAGUGCGACAGUGCUUGGAGAUGUGCGGCGACAACAGGCCAUCCAUGAAGGAAGUCGCGGACAAACUAGGCCAUUUGCGGAAGGUUCUGCAACAUCCAUGGGCGGAGCAGAGUCAUGAAGACACAGAGAGCUUGCUUGGGGUGUCGCCGUACGAGGCUCACUCCCCGGGGUUUGUUGGCAGCACAGGAAAUUUCUCCGUUGACAAGGAAGCUGCCAUGAGCCUAGGAUUCGGGCGUUAA